AUCGGGGGCGUGGCCCCGCCAGCGCGCAGGGCUCCAAGCAGCUGCGACUAGCGGAAAGCGCGCGCCAGCUGCACGCAGGGAAACAGUUCUCAUUUUGUGUGCUCGGCUGACUGCACGUCCAGCCUCGGGCCAGCUCGAGACGGCCACAUUGCCUGGUUGAAGAUGGCUGAGCGUAAAACAGAAUGCAAGUCAGCUGGAGCACGUACUACUGGAGGCAGAGCCCCAUGAGAAGGGGCCAAGAACCCGCACCCAUCAAAAUCAAGAAGAAAGGCUGAACCCGGAGAGAAAAGGGAGCAACUGAUGUUGCCAUGCAGAUCCCUUGGUUGCUAUGAGAUGGUAACAUCACUCUGCCCCACCAUUGGCCAGUGCCUCCUCAGCUGCGGUGCCUCCCAGGCUGUGUGGUUCUCACGCGGGCCACUGACACAGAGCUGUUACUAUGAUGCUCUUCCAGAAAGAAAAGCCAGGAGUACUCCUGGCUGGAGGCGGCAUGCCUGAGGUCAGAGUCAAAGUAGGGUUUGUGCUGUCUGAAUCCUUUCUCCCACUCUCCCCAGCCUGGCUCAGCUUCUCAGCUUCUCAGGUGGAUUGGCCUCUGAGCCCAAGCCAAGCCAUCGCAUCCCCUGUGACUUGCCCGUAUAUAUGCCCAGAUGGCCUGAAGUAACUGAAGAAUCACAAAAGAAGUGAAUAUGCCUUGCCCCACCUUGACUGAUGACAUUCCACCACAAAAGAAGUGUAAAUGGCCGGUCCUUGCCUUAACUGAUGACAUUACCUUGUGAAAGUCCUUUUCCUGGCUCAUCCUGGCUCAAAAAGCACCCCCACUGAGCAUCUUGCGACUCCCACUCCUGCCCACUGAGCACCUUGUGACCCCCACUCCUGCCUGCCAGAGAACAAACCCCCUUUGACUGUAAUUUUCCUUUACCUACCCAAAUCCUAUAAAACGGCUCCACCCUUAUCUCCUUUUGCUGACUCUCUUUUCUGACUCAGCCCGCCUGCACCCAGGAGAUUAAAAGCUUUAUUGCUCACACAAA
ensembl:lncRNA novel transcript, antisense to PELI1